UGGUGAAAAACUUUUACACCAAAUCGUGAAACAUAAGAAGCAAGACGCACCGCUGAGCUGUUCGAAUUGUGUAAUUUGUGUGGUGGUAAAUAAAAGAGAAAAAAAUAAUGUAAUUCGAGUUGUUUGCAAAGUUUAUUAUUCGUGGUUCUUACUUUCGCCCUCGAAUGAGGAAAAGACACUUUUCAAAGUGUCGCCACGUGGCGCCAUCGCGAUACUUACAGUAGGGGGCCACGUGCACGUGCACGAGUACGAGUACGGGCGGUGGCGCGCAUCCAUCGCAGGUGAACGCGGGUUUUUCGACACACGUCGCCGGCACGGGAAUGGGUGGUACACGUGCUCACCUGCUCCUCAUCCUCAUCCUCUGCGCCCUGGCGGACUGUUCCUCGAUAGAGGAAAUCACCAGAACGUUCCAGUGUCUGGAAGAACAAGACACUUUUCAUAUGGAGCAUGGAAUCGAAAACCCGAAACAGAAGAAAUGCCAGCAGACCUGGGCACAGGGACGCAAAGUCAUCGGCAUUUCCGGGAGCGAGAGCCGGUGUCUGCAGCCGUGCGCGAGCAUCUCGGAGCGGGGCAUGAGCGUGUCCUCCUGUGCCAAUUACACGCUCUCCGCCUUUUGCGAGAACAACGAGCGGAACGGCUACGAAAUCCUCAUCUCCUUCUACGGGAACGCUGCGAAGAGAGCUCAGAGCUCCGGGGCCCCCCCCGCAGCCCAGACGGUCGGCUGGGGGUCCCUGUGCGCCUCUGCGUUCAUCACGGCGCUCAUUGGUGCUUCAGCUCGGUGGUAGCGGUACUGGUACUGGCGCCGGGGCCAAGCGGGUUAGGUCUCCUCCCGCCUGCGUGAUCGUGGGAGGGACCCCUUGCUUCAGGAGUGUGUUCCGGCCUGGUGGGGGAGGGGGCACCUGCUCCAGGUGCGCGGUGUUAGGAGCAGAUUUGACUGUCUUCCUCAUCGAGCAGGGAAAAGGAACUACAUCACCGCUUUUGUCCCUCUUUCUGCUGAAGUUCUUUUCCAUCUGUGACUGUGGGGCACUGCUGGGGGGUGGGGGGGGGCACUUUGUCACUUAAUUUACAUCUCAAUAAUCCUGUGGCCACAGACCAAUCCUGAGAUUUAUUUGCUGGGAACAAACCCUCUUGAUCACUGCCUUCUGCUUCAAGGUCCCAGGUUCGAAUCCCAUUCCUACUGUAGUCCCCUUAGUGAAGGUACUUACUUUGAAUUGAUGCAGUAAAGGGUAAAUCAGUGUAAACAGCUUACUGUAGAAACCCUGCACUGUAAGUUGCUGUAGAGGAAAGGUGCUAAUUGGCAAAUAUUUCCUUUCAAAGCUUUACAUUCAUGAAAUAACCCAAAAGUUUCCCCGUUGGUUAUUUGUGAUAUUUCUCACUUUAUGCCCCUCCCUCUGAGCCACCGAAAAUGUACUUUUCUUUCCCACAGUCGUGGGUAAAAUACUUUAAUGGUAGCAGUGUGGAAGUUGCUGUGAAGUACUCAGGGUUUACCAUGUUGAGGUGAACCUUCACUCAGGUGCUGCUGCUGCUGCUGAAGAAACAGGCUGUACUCUACUCCGUUUACUCACCACAUGUGUAAAUUGCGGUCAGUACUGUAAUUCGGAGUUUUACUCUGCCUGACCGUGUUUUCCGUUGGGCUCUUUUUUGUGCUUUUACCCAGUUUACAACCUGUUUCCUUUAUGAAAGCAGCAUUUACCUUAAAAUUACCCUGCACAGUGAUGGGAUUUCAGGAAUGUGAAUGUGAGAUGUGAGGUAUCGAACACACAGACACUCACACACACAGUCUGUUGGGAUAUAAAGAAUAUGAAUGAAAAGAUUUGUUAACAAUCACUAAUGAGGGACUAAUGACCAGUGACAGUGUAUCAAAGAAUGACCUUUUAUUGCGUGUUAUUUAUUGGAGAAUUAUCAAUUUAACCUAAAAUGUAUUUGAAUGUAGUCAUGUGGCUUUAACCCAUGUUGCCAUCACACGGUAUCUGGUGUCUCCCGUCCUGCUGCUCGAGCGGCUCGGUGCCCUGUUCUCCACAUCUGUGCAGGUCCGUCCACACCUGUCCAACGUGUGAAAAGUACCAGUUUCCCAAAGACACCACUGUUUGUGCGUAUCUGCACUUGUGCAUUUCCAACACCAGCGUGCCGGUGGGGUGCAGCGCAGUGGUAAAAGGGAGUAAAGGCACUGGCAAAGCGGUACAGUGAAGGACAGCUGCAGCGAGGACCGGAGCAUCGCUCUCAAGAGCUCAGUUACAGUGAAAGUUCCGGUACAUCAUCACCUCGCACGGUGGCAGCUCCCCGGGUCACGUCUCAGCCGCCAGUUUCCAAAGUGCUCUUUGACUCGGGCUGUGGUGUCGGCUAUUAAUGGCAGCAGUAAUAAUAUCUUAUACCUGUGAAACUGUGUGUGUGUGUGUGUGAAUGCGCCCGCACGCAUGCCAAAACUACACACAGAGUGAUAUGCUUUGUUGGCAGAUGAGCCCUUUUCUUUCACUUCCCCUUUGUCGCACUGGAAACUUUCCUCUCUGCCCACCCAGUGAUGUCAGAGACGCUGCUCACGCUGUCAGUUCUCGUUCGCUGGCGCUGCUCCCGAAGAGAAAGGGCAUCAUCUUUCAAAAGUGCAUGCGCGCGCACACACACACACACGCAGACAAAUGUGCUGAUCUCCAGCACACAGCCACAAAAGGACAACAUUUCAGAAGGUUCAUCAUGAUCGAAAAACGUAUUUAUGGAGCAUGAUGUUCACUUACUGUUUGUUUCCGAAAUUUUCCAGUGUUAACAUUAAAACUUAAAAUGUACGCUUGCACUUUCUGUAACGCACCUUUAUCCUAGCUUUUCUCUCUGUAUGUUUGCACUUUUUUUGUCUGUUAAUACUACUGUAUAUUUUUAUUCUGGUAAAUUUUUAGAAUAAUGAAAAUAAAAUAAAUGUAAAUAUGUGUUCA
ensembl:lncRNA